rnacentral:misc_RNA from 1 species
CGUUCCGGCCUUUUAUUAUAGACCAGAAUGCGUUUUGGAUAUUUUGAAAUUGCCAGAACGCGUCGAGCAUAUAAACAAACAGCCCAAAAAGCGAUUUUGUAAGUGUCUCAACUUGUCAUUCGUAAUCGAUGUAGGUUUCAUAUUUCGUUCUGUGGCAACGGUUGGAGCGUCAUUUUAGUUUAGUGUUUAAUUCGAGCGCGUGUAAAAAUUUCGCUAGAGCGAAAAUGUGUGCUAGUGCCAUGGAAGACCUUAAGUUACGUUUGAGUGAUGAUUUGCAACAAUUAAUUUGUGAUAGCAAUGAUCGUAGCAAUAUUUUUACAAGAGAAAGAUACUAUGAAAUACUUUCAGAGGUAAAGGAAGCAAAGGCUUGUAAAAGUAACGGUGACCCAAUUUCUUCAAAACAAAGGCGACGAUUGAAAAGGUACGAUAUUUUAAAAAUUGGUGAAACUGAAAAGCUGAUAGAGAAGAGGGCGGAUGAGACUGCUGAGCUGCGUUAUUUCUGCACGACUGAUGAAUUAUUUGAUAUCAUUCAUUCUGCUCAUGUAGGAGCAGGGCAUAAGAGAUUACGAGGUUUGCUUUUUGGAGUUUUUCCAACCGACAUAAAAUCUAAUUAUAUUCUUUUAUUUAUUGUAGUGAUGGACUCAGAAUUAAAGAGGAAAUAUUGUAAUAUAACACGGCAAAUAAUUGAGAUUUAUUUAUUACUUUGCAUAGAGUGUCAAUUAAAAAAGAAAGUGCAACGAAAAGGUUUAGUGGUUAAACCAAUUUUAACAAAUGAAAUGUUUUCGCGCUGUCAAGUAGACUUAAUUGACAUGCAAAGUGAACCAGACCAAGAUUUUCGUUUCAUUCUCAAUUAUCAGGAUCAUUCAACAAAAUUCACCGUGCUCAGAGCACUAAAAACAAAGACAGCUGAAGAAGUGGCCUAUCAUUUAUUAGAUAUUUUCUGUUUGUUCGGCGCCCCUAUGAUUUUACAAAGCGACAAUGGCAGAGAAUUUGCAAACCGCAUCGUAGAAAAUCUUGCUGAAAUGUGGCCCGGAUUGAAGUUGGUCCAUGGAAAACCUCGUCAUUCGCAAAGCCAAGGGUCCGUAGAGAGAUCGAAUCAAGAUGUAAGGGACAUGUUGGUUACAUGGUUGGCUGAAAAAAAACACAACGAAAUGGUCUGAAGGACUGCGGUUUGUGCAAAGCAAUAAAAAUCGUUCUCUGCAUACAGGAAUAACUAAAAGUCCUUAUGAAGCUAUGUUCGGCACGCCUCAAAAGAUCGGUCUUAAAGAUUCGUCACUUCCUAAGGAACUGCUAUCGAACAUUAAAACAGAAGAGGAACUACAAAAGUUGUGCAAUCAAGAAAAUUCAGACGAACGAGAAGAUGGACAUUUGCGUCUAGUUGACGACGAUAAUUCGAUAAACAGAAGGAAUACUGAAGAUAAACAACAACAACAACAACAACAAGAGAAAAAUGUCUGUACAAUAUGCGAAAAAGAAAUGUCAGAUUCCCUUAGAUGUUCAGUUUGUUGCUUAUCUAUUCAUAUCAUCUGCGGAAAAGCCAAGGAAGGAAAUGGAGGGGGUGAACAAAGCAUUAUAUGUAAUCGAUGUUUACGAAAUGAAAAUAUUAGUAAUGUACGGGUCGAGGCUAAAGGUGGACUGGAAAAGCAGGCCGAGAAAAUGAUCGCUCUCUCGAAUUCAAAGUUACCACCUAUUGAUGUAGGAAAAACCGUUAUUAUACGAGUACCUGAUGUGGACAAAGGUAGACUUGCCCCGAGAAACGUGUUAGCUGUUGUACUCAGUAUAAAUGACUCUGGACUUUAUCAGCUUGGAACGAAAGAUGGAACUUUGCAAUCGCUGUAUAGCCGUAAUGAGUUUACCUUAGCCGACUCCGACUUUAUUGAUAUUUCAACAGUCCCGUCAACGUCUGUAUCUCUUCGAACUGCUUCUGGCUUAGCAUCUGGAUCGAAACAAGGCUUUAUACAGUGCAAUUGCAAACGAUAUUGCAUCGACAGAAAAUGUGCGUGUAGGGCCAAGAAAGUAGUGUGUAACAGUAAAUGUCACCGCAACAGUUCAUGUAAAAAUAAGUAAGCCCUUAAGGUUCCAAAAGUUUUACGUAUUUUGAUUUUCUCUGUUUCUUUUAGAGUUGAUUUUGUUACUUUUAACAUUUGAAUGUUAUACUUACAUAAACAAUAAAAAUAUUUUUCCAUAUUA